CCCUUCUCAAGAAAUUCGCUCACGGGGAGGAGCAUCACUGGCGAAGCAACGCGGAGCUAUAAAAAGGAGGCAAGGCCUGCCAAAAAGGCACUCACACCAAAGAAGCUGGUAGCAGUGCAGAUUGCCUUCAACAAGUACGUUGAGGAUACUACGCAGCCAGAGAGUGUUUCUGCGACCCAGGAAGAAAAGUUGAGGAGAGAGAAGGAGAAAACAAGCAGGAAGAACGCCUUCCGAGCUCACAUCAAGGGCAUAUGUUA